AUCCUGAAAUUCAAAAUUCAAGUACGUUAUGGCACUGGAUAUGGAUGAAGAAUUAUGAAGCGGAAUUAAAUUAUAAUUUGGAAUAUUUGCAUACUUCAAAUACCUGUAAGUUACUUGAUUAUCACGGCUAAUAAGCUUAAGGCAAUAAUUAUCUAUUAUAAAACUUCUUCGUAUGUAUAGAGGAACAAUACCAGCCUCAACUUCCAAGGAAUUAAUUGGAGACGACAUCAUAGCACCAGUAAUUAUUCGUAAUGCUCUAUUUUGCACAAUAUCUAAUUUCCUAAGAAUAGAAAAAUUCGCGUCCGAAAAGAACAUACUGCCAUAAUCGAAAUGGCUUCGGAUUGUUGCAAUGUAAAUAGUUUUUAAAACUUUGGGAUCAGCUCCCCAUUUUACUCCAGUUAGCGAUUUUAAUAUAUUCAAACCUAAUUCAGCUCUUUUACAAAUAACAUCAAUAUGAGUUUUCCACGAAAGAUCAAAAUCUAGAGAAAGACCAACAUAUUUUACGAAAGAUUGAGCAGGAAUAAUAUCAUAAUUGUAUAAAACUUUAGGGUAAUGCAAUCCAUUUUGGGAAAAUAAAAUUGCAGAACUUUUGGAAAUAUUGACCUCAAGCUUUAGGGAAUUAGUAAGUAAAUCGUAAAUAUUACGCAAACAACUAUUCAUAACCGAUUCACCACUUUUAAUAUCAUUACAGUUUACAUAGAGAACAAGAUCGUCAGCAAAAAAUAAAUGUUUAACAGUAUUUGGAAUUUUCUUUAUGAAACGUACUAAACUAAGUAUGAAUAUGAGAGGUGAUAAAACGCAACCUUGAGGUGUACCUUUAGUAGAAAUUUUAGGACCAAAUAAACUAGAUUUAAUUUUCAAAAACAUAGAGCGCUUGUUCAGAAAAUUGUACAGCCAGAACAGAACAUGUCCUGGAAAGCCUAAAGAAUGUAGACUUUCAAUAAGAACCAGUUAUCGAGUCCAAAAACAAAGAUGCAUUAGCGGGAUUUUGAAAAAAACUUGAAGACGAAGAAAUAUGAUUGAGUUUAGCGUGUUUAAAUCUACGAAUGUGAUCCCAAAUAAUUUUACUCGAAGUCAAUCGAUUGAAUGAUGAGCAAAGAUUCAUCCAGCUUGAACGUUUUAUUUCAUAUAAAGUUCUUUUCUUCAAAGCGUCCAGCUUUUUGAAAAUAAUAUAGUUUUCCAUAUUUGGAUAAUGCUUGUACGAUAAUAAAGCAACUUUGGCUUGUAAAACUACGCGGUCACAAUCAGCAUUCCACCAAGGAACAGCUUUGGAACAAUUCCGUUUUUUGUGCGAGUAACACUUUUUGUCAAAAGUCAUUAAUAUGUCAUGUAAAAUACUCAAAAACAUAUUAUAAUUUUCAAGAGGGUUAUCAGCGAAGCUAAAACUUGAAAACUCACUUUCACAUAAGUUAUUAAAUUUUGACCAGUCAAUCUUAUUAAAAUUUAUGUUAGCUAAAGAGGUAUUAUCUAGUGUAUCAACUUGAUUUAUUGAAGAGGUGGUCGGGCCAAAGGAAGGAUGGGAAGGAAGAAAAGCAUCGUUAAAGACUUCAAUAAGUAGUGGGAAAUGAUUACUACUGAGCAAAUCAUCAAGGACAGAAACUGUGCAACUAGAGCUAAGAGCAGGGGAAGCGAAUACUAGAUCCAAUACAUUUCCUUGUUGACCAAAUGGGGCAAAGGUUGUGAUUGUGUCAUCAUUUAAACAAACUAACUCAGAACUUUCCACAUAAUCAUGAAGGGCUUUACCUCUUCUAUCAUUGACUCUUGAACUCCAGGAAGCAUGAUGUGCAUUGAAGUCACCAAUUAUUAAAUAAUUAUUUGAAACAAAUUUAGAACAUGAAUCUUUCAAUAAAUUAAUAGUGAACUUACCAUUUGGUGGUGGAGGAAUGUAAACACAUAGAAUGUCAAAAGAAAAAUUAUUAAUGUAAACUGUAAUUAAAAUAUUUUGAAAAUGAUAUUGAGAAA